UACGAAGGGGGCUAGCGUUGUUCGGAAUUACUGGGCGUAAAGCGCACGUAGGCGGGUUGUUAAGUCAGGGGUGAAAUCCUGGAGCUCAACUCCAGAACUGCCUUUGAUACUGGCAACCUAGAGACUGGAAGAGGUUAGUGGAAUUCCCAGUGUAGAGGUGAAAUUCGUAGAUAUUGGGAAGAACACCAGUGGCGAAGGCGACUACCUGGCCUGUUCUUGACGCUGAGGCGCGAAAGCUGGGGGAGCAAACGGG
rnacentral:rRNA from 1 species